rnacentral:rRNA from 1 species
UACGAAGGGGGCUAGCGUUGUUCGGAAUUACUGGGCGUAAAGCGCACGUAGGCGGAUCGACCAGUCAGGGGUGAAAUCCCAGAGCUCAACUCUGGAACUGCCUUUGAUACUGUCGAUCUGGAGUAUGGAAGAGGUGAGUGGAAUUCCGAGUGUAGAGGUGAAAUUCGUAGAUAUUCGGAGGAACACCAGUGGCGAAGGCGGCUCACUGGUCCAUUACUGACGCUGAGGUGCGAAAGCGUGGGGAGCAAACAGG